AUUCGUCCUCGAGUUUGAUACUGUCUCAGGAUGAACGUUGGCGAUGUGCUUCAUGCAUGCAAGUCGAACGAGACAGUCGCUUCGCGGGUGAUUAAAGUGGCAUACGGGUGAGUAUCGCGUAGGUGAUCUGUCCUGAGGUGGGGAAUACUGCAUCGAGAGAUCAGCUAAUAUCGCAUAAUAUCUUCCUAUUCACGCAUAGGAAGAUUAAAGAUUUGUCGCCAUUGGAUGAGCCUGCGUCCGAUUAGCUUGUUGGUGGGGUAGAAGCCUUCCAAGGCUGUGAUCGGUAGCUGGUCUGAGAGGAUGAUCAACCACGCUGGGACUGAGACACGGCCCAGUCUUCUACGGAAGGCAGCAGUAGUGAAUAUUGCACUAUGGGGGAAUCCCUGAUGCAGCGACGUCGCGUGAGUGAUGAAGGCUUUCGAGUUGUAAAGCUCUGUUCUUAAGGAACAAAAAAAUGAGGGUACUUAAGAAGAAAGGACCGUCUAAUUUCGUGCCAGCAGCCGCGGUAAUCCGAGGGGUUCAAUCGUUAUCCGGAAUUCUUGGUGCGUAAAGCUGACGUAGGUGGCUUCGUCAGUCAGAAGUGAUAUCCUCGGGCGUACCCCGAGAAGUCCUUUUGAUACCACAAUGCUUGAGUUAGGGAGAGGAUAGUAGAAUUCCUGGCGUACUGGUGAAAUUCGUAGAUAUCAGGAGGAAUACCCGAGACGAAGGCGUCUAUCUGGCUCAACAGCUCGACGUUCAGAUCCGAAAGCGUGGGGAGCAAACAGGAUUAGAUACCCUCGUAG
rnacentral:rRNA from 1 species